AAUGCUGUUUGGACGAGCCAGACCUUCCUCCGCAGCGCUGUAGAGAAAGAUCUCCUCCACCCAGUCCAGCUACGCCUGAAGUAACCCGAGGUCAUCCACAAAGUUUGCAAUAAUCCGGAGUCCCGGUCGACAUUGCUCCAGCUCCCUCAGCCUCCUCCUCCCCACCUCUCCGAUGUCAUUCCCAACAAUGCUGAUGGAGGAGAACAUAACCAGUCUUACGUCAGUGUCAUCAGAGAGGUGUUUCUGCUGAGGCAGCUGACGAUGUUUUCUGUUCCUCGCUCUGUGAUGCCAGUGAUGUCCAGAUAGAGUUCCUCCACAGUGGUGUUGUGCUCCAAAGCGUUCCACAUCUCCAUAACCCCCUCCGGACCCAGUGUCUCCUGACUGCCACCCAGGCCGGGGGUCCAUGUCAGAUUUGGAGGAUGAGACAGACAGGCAGCUGGAGCAGAGCACGACAAACUCACUGAGUCUCCCUCCUUCACCUUCAGUGUGGACGGAGUCAGAGUCGGACUGGGAGGAUCAGCUGGUGGGAAGUCCAGGUACGCCUGAAGUAACCCGAGGUCAUCCACAAAGUUUGCAAUAAUCCGGAGUCCCGGUCGACAUUGCUCCAGCUCCCUCAGCCUCCUCCUCCCCACCUCUCCGAUGUCAUUCCCAACAAUGCUGAUGGAGGACAACAUAACCAGUGAUGUCCAGAUAGAGUUCCUCCACAGUGGUGUUAUGCUCCAAAGCGUUCCACAGCUCCAUAACCCCCUCCGGACCCAGGUGCAGGCACUGGCUUACUGACGACAUAGUCCCUGCAGUGUCUCUCCACCCAGACCUGCAGAUCUCUGCAGUAAUAAUCCUGUACCUCCCUCAGCACCUGCAGGA